CUUCCAGUGAGUGUGGCACGCUCACCCCACCCCAUCCCUAAUCUCCUCAGUCCCCACUGGAAGAGAGCGAGAUCACCAGGACCAGAGCCCUGGAGAAAGUGAGGUAGUUGCCGUUUAAUUAGAAGUUUGGAUGAACUGCCCCAAAAUAAAGGAAAUCAGAACAGUCAUGAAAGUUGACUCCAGUUGGAGGGAUGGCUGUGAUCCAUUACUCUUUCCACGGGAAUUGAACAGCUUGGACUUGGAGACAGUGAGUUAAAACAGAAAUAGGAAGGCGGCAGAAAAAGACUAUACCAGAUUGAAAUGUGUUGGAUAUUCAUAUCCACCCAGCACCUCAGAAUGUGGCCAUGGAGGAUGGAGACAGAGAUUGCAGUGAUGCAUCUUCAAGCCUAGGAACACUAAGGAUUGCUGGCAAUCACCAGAAGCUGGAAGAGGCAAGAAAGUGUCUUUUCCUAGAGCCUUCAGACAGAGCGCAGCCCUGCCAACACCUUGAUUAUAUGCUUCAAGCUUCUAGAAUUGUGAGAGAAUAAAUUUCUGUUGUUAUAA